rnacentral:tRNA from 1 species
GCAUUAAUGGGGUAGUGGUAACCUGGGUCGUUGCCAAUACUCCUUCUAUAUGUGAGCGGUUCUCGACCCGCCGGGGGUUCGAUUCCCCCUUAAUGCA